ACACACGGACCGGGACAGACGGACCGGGACAGACAGAGGGGAAGAGCGGCGGCCCCGGCCCUUCCGCCGGCGGCAGGAAGCAGGAAAGGAGCGGGCAGGGGCCGCGGGGAGCCCGGGCCGGUGGGAAGCUCGGUCUCUGCUCUUCUUCUGCUCUGUGGAGAUGGUGGUGCUGCGGGCUGGGCUCUGCCCUGGCCUCACUGAAGACAUGAUCCAGCUUCUCAGGACCAAUGGCAUCAGGACGGUGGUGGACUUUGUGUCUUCAGACCUGGAGGACGUUGCCCAAAAGUGUUCCCUGUCUUACAAGGCGCUGGUGGCAGUCAGACGUGUGCUCCUGGCCCAGUUCUCUACCUUCCCUGCCAACGGAGCAGACCUCUACGAGGAGCUCAAGAGCUCCACUGCCAUCCUGCCCACUGGCAGCCCAAGCCUGGACCAGCUGCUGGACUCGGGGCUGUACACGGGGGAGGUGACAGAGCUCAUGGGAGCACCGGGCACUGGGAAGACACAGGUGUGCCUGGGCAUUGCAGCCAGUGUGUCCCUGGGCCUCAAGCAGCACGUGCUGUUUCUCGACUCCACGGGGGGUUUCACUGCCUCCCGUCUCUGCCAGAUGCUCCAAGCCCAGACUGAGGAUGAGGAAGAGCAGCUGGAGGCCCUGCAGCGCAUCCAGGUUGUCCGUGUGUUCAACAUCUAUGAGCUGCUGAGCGCCCUGCAGGAGCUGCGGGAUCGCCUCUCCCAGCAGGUGGUGAGCUCCAUGGGACCUCUCAAGAUGGUGCUGCUGGACUCAGUGUCGGCUGUGAUUUCCCCUCUGCUGGGUGGCAGGCAGUCAGAGGGUUUGGCCCUCAUGAUGCAGCUCUCCAAGGAGCUCAAGACCCUGGCCAGGGAGUUCAGCCUUGCUGUUGUGGUGACCAACCAGGUGACAAGGGACAGCAGCACUGGCCUGCUGAAGCCAGCCCUCGGCCGCUCCUGGAGUUUCGUGCCCAGCACCCGGGUGCUGCUGGAGAGCAAAGAAGCCUCGUGGGACAAAGCCAGCACACGGCGUGCUGCUUCCCUGGCAAAGUCACCCCGGCAGCCGACAGGGAUCCAGGUGGAGCUGGACAUUGGAAAUGGUGAUGUGCUGGAACCGAGCCUGGUGACGCCCACACAGGGACUCUGAUGGGAUGGAAAAACAAAUGUCACAAGGUUCAAGGGAGCUGCACAAAAGCAGGCAAGCACUGAAGGUUUUACAAAUUGGCUGAGAGUCCUGCAGCCCUGGGAAGGACCAAUGUGAAAAAUCUCUUGUUCUUCUUCCCCAUGGAAAAACAGUGUGGGGCUCCCUGCAGAACUGUGUGCCCAGCAGAUGCUGCCUGCAGCAGCUGGGCUGUGAGGGCAGCAGGACUGCCAGGUCCUGCCCUCUGCUGCAGGCUUGUCUUCACCCCCCAGAGCCAGCCCUGUCCUCAGGUGUUGUUUGGGAUCAGCUUUGUCCUUGUCCCUGCACAACCCCACAGCUCCCCGUGCUGGUUUUGUUCCCCCCGUGGCUCACUGGCUCCUGGAGUUCUGAACAUCCUCAGGCCCACAGUGGGCUUGGUUCAGAAAUAAAAGGAAAAAAGCUGUUGCUGUGGUUGUUGAGAGCUGGAAUUCAAUUAAUGAUAGCUGCUCUGAACUUAAUUAAAAUGUUGAGCAGGGCUAUGCUGGGACAGGCUGCUGAUGAGCAGGAACAUAAUGAGAUGCUUGAUCUUCCCUUCUCCCCAGAGUAACACCAGGCCCUGUGGGGACCUGCUGGUGUUUUUGGGGCACAGCUGGAUUGUGUAAAGGCUUGCUGAUAACUGAUGGAGGUUCUGAUCUGGAUCAGCUGAGGCAGAUGGGUCCUGGCUGGCACCAGCUGGCCCUGCUUGAUGCUCAAGGACCUAUUCAAUUGCAUGUGGUGAUGUUUAAAAUAAUCUUGCUGUGCUCCAGCGCUUUCCAGCUGCUCCUGCCUGCUCUUGGCAACCUCCUGAGGAGAGGGGAGGCUCGGAUGUGGAGUUUGCUCUUGAUCCCAGAUGUCUCAGAUAUUCUCAGUUUGAGAGACCUCCUUGGCAGCUCAGGAGGUGAGGUCUGGCUUCAGGGAUUGCAGCCUGCUUGGUUGGGGUGAGGAGGAAGAGGAUGGUUUUCCCAUCUGCUGGAGACCUGUGCUGACGUGGCUGGAACGUACAAGCAGAAAUUUACCUUAUUAGCUAAUUUCUUGUUAGUUAAUUCCUUGCUAGCUCCACUCUUGGAGCUGUGAAUAAAGGGGUGGUACACGCACAUUUCAAUUUCUAA